CCAGAAGACAGCGAUACUGACAGAUGUACAUCUAAAAUGGUGGGUGCUGGAUUCCUGCAGUGAGGCACCUACUAUUAUGCACCGCCUGGUAGCACUAUUUUAAGCUUUCUGGCAGAAGCUGCGGUGAAGGCUACAACUACUUGAUCCGGAGGCUCAUAGGAAAAGGGUAACUGAAAUGUUGAGCCUCUGGUUGCCUGAUAUACCCCAGUAUACCGAUUCCUCCAUGCUCAAUAUUGUUUUCUAGUUGAUAUACACUACUACUGAUUUCCUUAUCUACAAUCUAUCGCUAUGCUUCCUGUUUGUGUUCCCACUGUUUAUUCUUCAAGUUUCCCCUUGUAUUUGCAUACAUUUUGUGUAUUUUUCCCUGUUGACCGUUCUUUAGCACUCAUGCGAACAGAGCCCGUUCGCCUCCUGAAAGUGGAUCACCCCACUACCCCAUUAGAAUGUUCACACCAACCAACCAAUCAGAAUGUUCACACCUACAACAUAAGUGUGAAACCGCAAGGGAAGUAAUUCAUGAAUGCUCCCCUGGGUGGCCGCCAUUUCGUAUAGGCGAAUGCCACCCUGGGGGAGCAUUUGUAUCCCGAAAGGAAACACUUCCC